rnacentral:rRNA from 1 species
UACGAAGGGGGCUAGCGUUGUUCGGAAUUAUUGGGCGUAAAGGGUGCGUAGGCGGUUCCGCAAGUCCUGUGUGAAAUCUUCGGGCUCAACUCGAAGUCUGCACGGGAAACUGCGGGGCUUGAGUGUGGGAGAGGUGAGUGGAAUUCCCGGUGUAGCGGUGAAAUGCGUAGAUAUCAUUUGGAACGCCAAUGGUGAAAACAGCUUGCUGGGGGUUUGCUGACGCUGAGACACGAAAGCCAGGGGAGCAAACGGG